rnacentral:rRNA from 1 species
UACAGGGGGGGCAAGCGUUGUUCGGAAUUACUGGGCGUAAAGGGCCAGUAGGCGGCCAACUAAGUCACACGUGAAAUCCCCAGGCUUAACCUGGGAACUGCGUGUGAUACUGGAUGGCUUGAAUUCGGGAGAGGGAUGCAGAAUUCCAGGCGUAGCGGUGAAAUGCGUAGAUAUCUGGAGGAAUACCGGUGGCGAAGGCGGCAUCCUGGACCGACAUUGACGCUGAACGGCGAAAGCUAGGGGAGCAAACGGG